rnacentral:rRNA from 1 species
UAUAUGAUAAAUAAAUCCAAUUAAAAAUAUUUUUUUAGUAAUAUAUGUAUAAACAUAAAUUAGCUUUAUUAUAUCCAUAUUUGUAAUAAUAUUUUAUUAAUAAUUAUACGUUAGGUAUAUUUAAUUUUUAUUAUUAAUAAAAAUAAUAUAAAUUAUUAUACGGAAUAAUACUCCAUUAGUAAUAUAUUUGAUAUGUAAUGUGUUAUUUCAUUAUUGUAAAUACAAUGAUGUUUAGUAUAUAAAGAGAUUAUUAUGAAUUAAUAGCUGUAUGUCAUAAGUACAAUUAAAAGCUUAUACUGUAGUACCUUAGUGUACUGUAGUAAAAUCAGUCCUAUUAGCAAUAGGAGUUAUGAGGUUCUUGUCAGUAAUGACAAGGUAAGUUAAAUAUAGGAGAAAUCCAGUUAUAAACGAAGUAAAUUGAAAUAUCUUAUUAACUUCAGGAAAAAAAAUCAAAUGAGAUUAUUUUAUUAGUUAAAAACUAAUAAAAUAAUGCCCGCCAACAAGUAAAGUGGAAAUAAAUCUGCUUGAAUAUAGGGAAACCUUUCUCUAAGGCUAAAUAUGACAUACACGCGAUAGAAAAUAAAGUAGCGUAAGGGAAUUUAUUGAAAUAGUAGUUUUAUAAGCAGCUCAAGUUUUUAUGCAUAAGAAAAAUUAGAGCGUACCUUUUGCAUAAUGGGUCAGCAAGUUAAUAUUAGAUGCAAGACUAAAGUCCUAGAUAAACCAAUUAUUAAAUAAUGAUUAAGUAUCUAAUAUUAGACCCGAAGCCUGGUGAUCUUACCAUUAUCAGGGUUAUAAAAGCCCGAACAGGUUAUCGUUGUAAAGAUAUCUGAAGAAUUGUGGUAAGUUAGUGAAAGACAAAACUGACCAGGAUAGCUGGUUUUCCGCGAAACCUAUUUAAGUAGGUAGUUUGAAUUAUAUCAUUGCAGGUACAGAAUUGUGAUCUCAGACAAGUUAUGAUGCAUUUAUAUGUUAUCAGUUUGUAUACAUUGGGGGAUCGUGAAGAUUUUAUCAGUGAGGAUUUGCUCUCGGAAGGGCAAUGAUAAUUAUUAAACCGUCGGACAUAGUACGAUAAGGUUGUAUGUCUAAAGGGAAACAGCCCAGAACAAAAGUUAAAGGUUCCAAAAUUAUUGUUAAGUGAAAUUAAGGAAGUUUUUUUCAAACACAAUCAGUAAAUAGGCUUAGAAGCGGCCACUUUUUAAAGAUCUCGUAACAGAGCACUGAUUAAUAAUAAAGUUAAACGCGCCGAAAAUUUAACGGAUCUAAACAAUAUACCGAAACUUUGUACGUAAAAAUAUUAAUUUGUAUAAAUUUAGUUUUUUGCGGGGUAGCGGAACGUUGGGUAGUAACAAGAUACUGUAUCUUCGAUAUAGAUCAAUAGUCAACCGUUUGGAAUUGGAUUAUAGGAUAUCCCAAGUGAUAAUGCUGACAUGAGUAACGAAAAAGGGAAAUUUUCCCCUCGCCUUAAGCUUAUGGUAUCUUGUUAUAGAAAAGUAACGGCCCCUAAGUUUAUUAAUCUGACCUAAAGGAUUAAACGAUGGGAAAAUCUUUAUAUAUUUUUAUAAACUUUUUUAAGAACAAAAGUUCUGGAAAAUAAUAUAUAUUUUACAACCGUACCUAGAAACUACCUCAAGUAAGCAAGUAGAGUAUACAAAGGCGUUUGAGAUAACAAUCAUUAAGGAACUCGGCAAAAUGACACCGUAACUUCAGGNUGUUACUAGUAAUUGGAUAUAAUUGGGCAAGUUGUAGUAUAUAAGGUAGUUGGUUAGAUAAAAGUGAAAUACCUUUGCUUAGCCUAUUAUAUCAGAAAAAUAACAUUUUUGGUGAUGAAUAAUUAGCAGGCAACUUUAAAUAGAUGGGGGUCAGUAGGUAUACUGAGGCCAUAAUCGCUGAUGGGUCAUUGAUGCCCUUUAAAAGUACCCAACUAGUAGUUGAAAUUUGGCUAGGCGCAGACUAUACGACUGUAGGCCUGUUAAUUUUAAAACGCAACAAGUCAUUUUUAAAAUAGAAGUUUACAUAACUCAUCCAACAAGAUAUAGGAAUAUUUAUUUACUCAGGAAACAUUUGCUAGUAGACAGUUUAUGCGGGGCACAGAUCCCAUAAAAAGUACCUGGGUGUAUCCAAAGUUAAUAUUGUAAAUUCAUUAGAAAAAAAAAUGAUUUAAUACUUGCAAUUUAAUAAUUUAUGUUACUAUAAGCAAGUAUUUUAUAUUUUACUUUGUAAUAGUUUAUAUAUAAUCUAUUCACUUAUUAUUCUAUUGAGUUAGAUUAAUUUUUAUUUUUAUAGUAAGGUUUUAACUAUAUGGAAAAUAGUUAUUUAUAAAAUAUUAUAUUUAUAAUAUUUUAAUUUGUCUUAAUGUAAAGAUUAAUUCUUUUGAUGAUAUAUUUUUUGGCUUGUAUAAAGUUGUAUAAAACACUAAACUUUAAGCCCUCAAUGUUAAUUUUAGUUUUUUCUUUACUUGUUAUAAGAUGAUAUUUAGUAAAAUUAUGAAAGUUUAAUGGCUAAACCUUGCUUUACUGUUUGACUUACAUGUCUAUCAGUCGCGUAAGCGGGGCAUACGAUCGCAAGAUGCAGAAAGGAAAGGUCUUGUAUUUAUGAAAAAGCUACGCUAGGGAUAACAGGCUAAUUGCGCCAGAGAGUACAAAUUGAGUGCGCAGUUUGGCACCUCGAUGUCGGCUUAGCUCAUCCACAUGAAUGUAGGAAUCAUGAAGGGUACGACUGUUCGUCGGUUAAAGAGCUACACGAGCUGGGUUAAAUACGUCGUGAGACAGUAUGGUUUCUAUCUUCUAGAAGUAAUUAGAGUAAAAUAAGGAUAGCCCCUUCGUACGAAAGGAGUUGGGUAUGGUAACCUCUGGUUUAUUUGUUGUUUAUGAUAAUACCUUUCAAUACUCCUUAUUAGGAAAGUAAUGGGGAAAGCUUUUAGUUUCUAAAAGUACCUAAGGUUACAUUUUUAUAUUUCUUAUAUAAAUAAAAAAUAGGCACAGCAAUAAAGCUACGUUAGCUAAUAAUAAGUGCUGAAUGCAUAUAGGCACGAAGUUUACCUUAUGAUACUCUAAAAUAUACGUAAUAUAAUAUUACGAAUUAUUAUUUGUUAUGCGAAAGCAAUAUAAUUAAUAAUUGUAUAGGCUUUGGUUUAAAGGAUUUUGAUGUUCUCAGAUACAAAGUACUAAUUUUAUUAGUCACUAAGUAAUA